UUACACACCCCACGUUCUGAGCGAGUCUUCUCUCAAAGGUCAGAGGCUCAGAGCUUCCUCCCAAUGUAAAAUUCCCAACCUUUCUUCUCCUAAUAAUUCUCCAUUCAUCCUCUGACCCUCCAAAGCAUACAAGCAUACUAUCAAUAACCUGUCAGUGAUACCAUUUCAAGCGAGCGUGUUGACGAGUGACUUUCGGUUCUCACAAUGGUUCAAACAAUGUCAACAAAUUAGGGGAGAAAAUAAAGAGAAAAACGUAAGAAGAUUUCUGAUGAUAGGCGAAGGGAAUGGACUUGGUUGCAAUUUAUAUCUCUUCUUGAUUUUGGUUCUUCAAGUGGCAACAGUUCGAGCAAAAUGGUCAGGUAGCUCAUUUUUCUUUUUCUUCCUGCAGUUUCUUGGCUUACCAACUACAGAUUUGUUGCUUAAUCUUGGUUUGUACUGAAGUCAUAGCAGUGGCCAAGGUUUUUACUUUUUAAUCCUUAAAAAUCCAAGAAGAAAGGUUUAAAAAUUGGGUGUGCGUAUUUCUUGUGCAACUCUAUGAAUUAUUAGCGUAAUUCGACUUUGACUUAUCACUAAAUGUGUACUGUGACUGUCUUUGUUAUCGGAAGUCCACAAUUCUUUGGUUGGAUUGCCACCA